AUGCAAACUUAUGAGGAAGGUCACAAAAAAGAUGGUUCGUUUAUGUUUGAGCAUUGCUGGGAGAUUCUUAAAAAGGAACCAAAAUGGGACGCAUAUUUGGAACGCCUAGAAGAUCUGGAGCCGGACAAGAGGAAGUUUAGUGUUGAUGAUGAAGUAGGGAAGCAUUCCACUAUAGAUGAUGAUGAUGAUGAAGAUGAACGUCCAUCGGGUGGCAAGCAAGCUAAGGAGAAGCAGAAACGAAAAGGAAAGGAUGAAGUUUGUAUAAUAGAUCUUGAAGAUGAGCUUCAAAAGUUUGUAGAUGCCCAGAAUGCAGCAAAUGAAGGCCGCAAAGAGAUGUUAGAGACCCAAAGGCGUGUUUCUGCUGAGAAUCUUGAAGCACGGAAGCUUGCUCACCUUGCGGCAAAAGAUCACAAAGAGUCGGUCAUGCUAGAAACAUAUCGCUCAUUGGUGAUGCAAGACACAACCGGGAUGCCUGAAGAUGUGAGAUCUUAG
rnacentral:rRNA from 1 species